GUGCCAGCAGCCGCGGUAAUACAGAGGGGGCAAGCGUUAUUCGGAAUUAUUGGGCGUAAAGGGCGCGUAGGCGGCUUUUUAAGUCAGAUGUGUAAUCCCCGAGCUCAACUUGGGAACUGCAUCUGAGACUGGAAGGCUAGAGUGCUGGAGAGGGUGGUGGAAUUCCUCGUGUAGCGGUGAAAUGCGUAGAGAUGAGGAGGAACACCAGUGGCGAAGGCGGCCACCUGGACAGUAACUGACGCUGAGGCGCGAAAGUGUGGGUAGCAAACAGGAUUAGAUACCCUGGUAGUCC
rnacentral:rRNA from 1 species